rnacentral:rRNA from 1 species
AGUGAACGCUGGCGGCAUGCCUAACACAUGCAAGUCGAACGGCAGCACGAUCAGGUUUUCCCUAUGGAGGUCGCGGGGGGAGGGUGGGUGAAAUAUAGAUAAACUUCCCCUUUAUCGGGGGGUAAAUCGUCGAAACAGUGCCAAUAACGGCAUAUAAGCUGAACGGGAAAGUGCAGGAGUGCAAGGCGGCUUUCCAGACAGUCUUAGAUGGUGUCGUGCUGCAUUGGCUGGUUGGUAAGGUAACGGCUGAGCAAGGCAACGAUCCGUAGCAGACCUGAGAGGAUGAUCAGCCACACUGGGACUGAGACACGGCCCAGACUCCUACGGGAGGCAGCAGUGGGGAAUCUUGGACAAUGGGCGAAAGCCUGACCCAGCAAUGCCGCGUGUGUGAAGAAGGCCUUCGGGUUGUAAAGCUCUUUUGUUCGGAAAGAAAAGGUGCUGGUUAAUCUCUGGGCUUGUUGACGGUACCUAAAGAAUAAGCAACGGCUAACUACGUG